rnacentral:rRNA from 1 species
UCCUGGCUCAGUCGGUACGAGAGGAGAGCUUGCUCCCGGAUGUUAGCGGCGGACGGGUGAGUAACACGUGGGUAACCUGCCUGUAAGACUGGGAUAACUCCGGGAAACCGGAGCUAAUACCGGAUAGUUCCUUGAACCGCAUGGUUCAAGGAUGAAAGACGGUUUCGGCUGUCACUUACAGAUGGACCCGCGGCGCAUUAGCUAGUUGGUGGGGUAAUGGCUCACCAAGGCGACGAUGCGUAGCCGACCUGAGAGGGUGAUCGGCCACACUGGGACUGAGACACGGCCCAGACUCCUACGGGAGGCAGCAGUAGGGAAUCUUCCGCAAUGGACGAAAGUCUGACGGAGCAACGCCGCGUGAGUGAUGAAGGUUUUCGGAUCGUAAAGCUCUGUUGUUAGGGAAGAACAAGUGCGAGAGUAACUGCUCGCACCUUGACGGUACCUAACCAGAAAGCCACGGCUAACUACGUGCCAGCAGCCGCGGUAAUACGUAGGUGGCAAGCGUUGUCCGGAAUUAUUGGGCGUAAAGGGCUCGCAGGCGGUUUCUUAAGUCUGAUGUGAAAGCCCCCGGCUCAACCGGGGAGGGUCAUUGGAAACUGGGAAACUUGAGUGCAGAAGAGGAGAGUGGAAUUCCACGUGUAGCGGUGAAAUGCGUAGAGAUGUGGAGGAACACCAGUGGCGAAAGGCCACUCUCUGGUCUGUAACUGACGCUGAGGGAGCGAAAGCGUG